AUGUGCCAUGGUUGCAUCUUCCCUAGCAGAUGCGGCCGGUGUGCCAUUUGCACCGCCAAUGCGACCUACGCCGUCCACAAUUGGUCUACUCAUCCAUUCUUCACGGGCAGUCCGUCGGCUCGCUCCCUAGCAGUCCAUGUGGGCAGCCAUCUCUCCUCGCUGUUAUGUUUCUCAUCGCAAUUGUCGUCAGUCCAUCGACAUCAAGGCAAUCCUACCGCAGCAGAUGUGUUCGAGGUCGGCUACCUCCUCAGCGUCGAGGUCUCCCACCAAGCCGAGCAUGCCACUGCUCCAUCCUUCGUGAAGAUGUAG
rnacentral:rRNA from 1 species